UAUGAUUUUGUGUAUUAAUAGGAAUUACGGCAUCUGACAAAAAACUCGCCAUAGAGCAUGAAGGGGCUGCUCGUUCGCUUAAGGAACGAUUCGAAAAAGGAGAAGUAUUUAAAAAUUCUCCCGAUAAUAGCGAAGAUAGUUCGACAUAUCACAAGGCUUUACAGAAUGAAGAUGUUUUUGAAUCAGCGAUUAGUAAAAAAUCACGGAGCAUAUUUAUGGAAUUGGAUGCUAAUGUGGUUGCUAACAGGAAAAAUUUGAACUCACCAAAAUCGCCACAAGGAGAUAAACUACACAUAUAUAACGCAAGAGAACAGAAUAGCGAAAAUGAAAACGAGGUGAGAGAAAAGGAAUCAACUUAAAAAUCCUGCCAUAAGUUCUGUUACAAUUUUAGGCUUUUAUAAAAAUGAAACCGUAACUCUUUUUUCAAUAGAAUUCAUUUAAUUUAAUAAUACAUACAGUAUCUCCCACUUAAUUGACUCCCGGUUAAUUAAUUUUCCAGUUUAUUUAAUCACCUGAUCAAAAAUAUUUAUGUACAUAAUACGUGUAAAUUUUCCCGCUUAAAAAAAAUUUUUAAUUUCCCCCCGUUAAUUGCACCGAAAACUUACGUUAAAAAAAUAAUCUCUAGUAUCCGCAUUUAAAAACAUAAGUUUAUUGGUGAAUAUGUUUUGGAUGGUGCUGAUAAAAAUAAAGAUGAUCAUUCAAAGCCCUCGUCAGUUCUCGAAGUUUUCAAAGACAUACAAGAACAGUGUGAAAAGGGGAAUAUGGAAUCGCAUAUGAUAUCACGUAGAUUGAAUAAUAUAGAAACAAAAAAUUACAAACUUCUUCAAUGAAAUUAAAAAAAAGAAGCAGCGCAAAUGCUGCUUAUAAAUAAUAAUAUGCAUUGUUUUUGUUCUAUAACUUUAUUUUUGUUACAACUAUGACUUCUAAUUAUAUAAGUGUAUUGUAUUUUGUUCAUUUAAAAAAAUUAAAAUUUAAAAAUUCUAUUUACAUACCAUUACUAAAGUAUUGUAUACUGAAUGUAAUUAAAGUACUUCGGAGCUUAAUAAAUAAAUCAAGAAUGUAGUUCUACAAA
rnacentral:lncRNA from 1 species